UGCAGUCGAACGGCAGCACGGAGCUUGCUCUGGUGGCGAGUGGCGAACGGGUGAGUAAUAUAUCGGAACGUACCCUAGAGUGGGGGAUAACGUAGCGAAAGUUACGCUAAUACCGCAUACGAUCUAAGGAUGAAAGUGGGGGAUCGCAAGACCUCAUGCUCGUGGAGCGGCCGAUAUCUGAUUAGCUAGUUGGUAGGGUAAAAGCCUACCAAGGCAUCGAUCAGUAGCUGGUCCGAGAGGACGACCAGCCACACUGGAACUGAGACACGGUCCAGACUCCUACGGGAGGCAGCAGUGGGGAAUUUUGGACAAUGGGCGAAAGCCUGAUCCAGCAAUGCCGCGUGAGUGAAGAAGGCCUUCGGGUUGUAAAGCUCUUUUGUCAGGGAAGAAACGGUGAGAGCUAAUAUCUCUUGCUAAUGACGGUACCUGAAGAGUAAGCACCGGCUAACUACGUGCCAGCAGCCGCGGUAAUACGUAGGGUGCAAGCGUUAAUCGGAAUUACUGGGCGUAAAGCGUGCGCAGGCGGUUUUGUAAGUCUGAUGUGAAAUCCCCGGGCUCAACCUGGGAAUUGCAUUGGAGACUGCAAGGCUAGAAUCUGGCAGAGGGGGGUAGAAUUCCACGUGUAGCAGUGAAAUGCGUAGAUAUGUGGAGGAACACCGAUGGCGAAGGCAGCCCCCUGGGUC
rnacentral:rRNA from 1 species